GACCUCGUAGCUCAGUUGGUAGAGCAUUGGGCUAGUUAUAAAAUAAUAAUAUUUCAUAACCGUAAUAUAAAUAUAGGUUUUUAUAGUUAGUUUAGCUAGAAUUUUUGUUAUUUUCACGACUACAUCAGCACUACCUGUAACUAACUUAUCGUGAUUAAAUAAAUACAUAUUAUUAUUAUUAUUAUCCCAAAGGUCGCGGGUUCGAUUCCCACCGUGGUCA